rnacentral:lncRNA from 1 species
UCUUCCGUUCUGAGAGAGAGAGAGAGAUAUACAGAAGCGGUGGUUGAGAUUCUUAACGUUAGAUCGUUCUUCCACCUCAAAGCGAUCCAAGAGGACAGGCCACAGUUAGACGAGUAGACAGACAGAAAGACAGACAAGAAGACAGAUAGAGAGACAGAUAAAGACUUGAUUGAUAAGCCACCACAAACUAGAAUUUUGUGAACUGACUUUCUGUAUAGGCUUUCAUACAACAUAGCAAAAGUAUAACAACAAAAACCAGAAAGGAAGAGACGACCAUGAGAUAGUGGAGGAACAAGAGAAAAAAAGAGAGAAAAAAGAACAAAAACAUUAAAGAUAUAACACAAAACAAGACAAG